rnacentral:lncRNA from 10 species
GGUGGCGCUUUCAAGAGAGCAUAAACUGCGGUAGUGUAGGGAGGAUACAAGCUUGCCGUAGAGUUGCCUGGAUAAGUUUCUCAGACAGUGGGCAGGGCCAUAGCGCUCCCAACAGACUUUGUCCUUUGUCUUCAGCUACGAGGAGACAAGUUCUCACUAUUUUGCCCAGGCUGGUCUUCAACUUCCAGGCUCAAGUGAUCUUCCUGCCUUGGCCUCCCAAAAUGCUGGGAUUACAGGUAUGAGCCACCAUGACUGGCCUAGGUAUUUUAAAAGUAAAAAAAAAAAGCUCCUUUUCUAGCAGGUGAUCAGGCAGACACCUCUUCUAUUGAAAUACUACACAAGGAGCUGCCAGUGUAUUUUAAAGCAGGAUCAAAUGAAAAGAUUCAGAUAAGCAAAGGCCUGUGGGGGAAGUAAGGCAGGGAGUAAUAUAAAUCUCACGUGCAGUUAGAACAGUGGAUUCUCAGUGGGUUGGAGCAGAAAUUCCAAUCAUUAGAAGUUUUUCCGGGUUUACAGAUCCAAUCAUGUGUCAAGGACAUGGAUCACAAUAUGGCUGAGGUGGUAGGCACCCAUCUGGGUGAAAUCCCAGGCUAUUUUCUUAGUUGUAUUCAAGGGUCUUAUGGCCAUAGUCUCUUCUACACUCUUGAGUGAAGGGUCAUUCUUGUCUUCCAGGAACAGUUGGCCUUUUUGGAUGAAGGUGUGAUUACUGGAAAGGAGUACUGCCAGGUGAUAAAGUAAGAAGACAAAGAUGCAGACAAUCAAAAGCAGCCACAUCAGUCUGGUGAUGGGCAAGGGAACACGUGUCAAAGCCAGCUGACCUUUACAUACAUCACGGCUAACUAGAAAACCAUUUGGUGACUUGCUAGUUCCUCGAACUUCUGGGAAAGAGAAUGGUGUUAUAGGUGAGAAUGACAAUACAACUUUGUGUAUUGUCUGGACCCCAAUUUAUAAUGGAUCCUUCUGGUAAGAUCUGUUCAGAACAUUUUCAACUGCUUGAUACCCUACUUUUAAUCAAUUAGUAUCUUGAGCAUCAGUUUUCCUCUUCUUCAGUCCCUAAAUUCACUGAAUUUUCUGAGAUCACACAUUCAAUUCUCAUUGACAUUCUGUACCAUUAGCCAAGGUCUUCAGAAAAUUUAGAUGAGGGCAAAAACAUCACAUAUAAAUGAACAGUGUUUUAGGUCUCUGAUCUUUAUAUAUCACUGAAAACUAGGUGAUGGAUUUGCAAUCCCCAUGGCAUUUAUCUGUCAGUUCUUAAUAGAAUCACUACAUUGCUUCCAUAUGCUCAGUUAUUACACUUCCUCUGUUUCAUUUUGGCCCAUCUCCAUGCUCUGUGACUAUCUAGUGACUUUCCAG